rnacentral:rRNA from 1 species
UGAACGGCUGGCGGCGUGCUUAACACAUGCAAGUCGAACGGAGUACUUACGCUGACAAAGCUUCGGCAGAGUCUUGUAAGUACUUAGUGGCGGACGGGUGAGUAACGCGUGGGUAACCUGCCUUAUACCGGGGGAUAACGUCUGGAAACGGACGCUAAUACCGCAUAAGCGCACGAUGAGGCAUCUUGUUGUGUGAAAAACUCCGGUGGUAUAAGAUGGACCCGCGUCUGAUUAGAUAGUUGGUGAGGUAACGGCCCACCAAGUCAACGAUCAGUAGCCGGCCUGAGAGGGUGAACGGCCACAUUGGGACUGAGACACGGCCCAAACUCCUACGGGAGGCAGCAGUGGGGAAUAUUGCACAAUGGGGGAAACCCUGAUGCCAGCGACGCCGCGUGAGUGAAGAAGUAUUUCGGUAUGUAAAGCUCUAUCAGCAGGGAAGAAAAUGACGGUACCUGAGUAAGAAGCCCCGGCUAACUACGUGCCAGCCGCAGC